UGAACACUGUGGCUGCUGUCUCUAUCACCAGGCGAGAGCUCCCCUUUCACACUCUGGCUUCUCCUCCUGCUCAGCUUCAGGCACUUUCCCCACCUCAUCAUACACCGUGCAUCCCGUGGAAAGGCCGCUCUUCCCCGUGGGGAGCUCAGAUGAGCCGCCGGCUUUGAACCGCGUUGCCGACAACGGCUGGAGCAAGCGAGACAGCUGCUAAAGAGACUUCACAAGAGCAGCAAGAAUCCCACUGCGGGGCCCAGCGGGCGCCUAGUGGAACAGACGUGCCACUGGCCAGACCCUCCGCCGUGUGACACCCUCGGCUCAGCCUCUUUGCCCGCGGAGGCCGCCUGCUGCUCUGCCAGGAAGACCUUCUCCAGCACCAGAGAACCGGGAAGUGAGACUGCUCCGGACGUGCCACCUCCACGCACACAGGAGCCACACGCCCACUUCAAGGUGUGCGGAGCCCACCCCUCCUCUCCCACCCUUGCCAGCCUCCACCUCAAUUAGGUGACUUUCCCAUGCUGCUCCUCCUCUUCCC
rnacentral:lncRNA from 1 species